rnacentral:rRNA from 1 species
UCUGGUUGAUCCUGCCAGUAGUUAUAUGCUUGUCUCAAAGAUUAAGCCAUGCAUGUCUAAGUACACACGAAUUAAAAGUGAAACCGCAAAAGGCUCAUUAUAUCAGUUAUGGUUCCUUAGAUCGUUAACAGUUACUUGGAUAACUGUGGUAAUUCUAGAGCUAAUACAUGCAUUAUAAACACGGACCUUUGGGACGUGUGCUUUUAUUAGGCUAAAACCAAGCGAUCGCAAGAUCGUUAUUAUGGUUGAACUCUAGAUAACUUGCAGAUCGUAUGUCUUGUACCGACGACAGAUCUUUCAAAUGUCUGCCCUAUCAACUUUUGAUGGUAGUAUCUAGGACUACCAUGGUUGCAACGGGUAACGGGGAAUCAGGGUUCGAUUCCGGAGAGGGAGCCUGAGAAACGGCUACCACAUCUAAGGAAGGCAGCAGGCGCGUAAAUUACCCACUCCCAGCCCGGGGAGGUAGUGACGAAAAAUAACAAUACAGGACUCAUUAUAGAGGCCCUGUAAUUGGAAUGAGUACACUUUAAAUCCUUUAACAAGGACCUAUUGGAGGGCAAGUCUGGUGCCAGCAGCCGCGGUAACUCCAGCUCCAAUAGCGUAUAUUAAAGUUGUUGCGGUUAAAACGUUCGUAGUUGAACUUGUGCUUCAUACGGGUAGUAUAACUAUAAUUGUAGUCUGUACUAUACCUUAUGUAUGUAAGCGUAUUACCGGUGGAGUUCUUAUAUGUAUUAAAUACUUGUAUUUAUAUGUAUUCCUCCUAUUUAAACCUGCUUCAGUGCUCUUCAUUGCGUGCUGUUGUAGGCCGGUACAAUUACUUUGAACAAAUUAGAGUGCUUAAAGCAGGCUCCAAAUGCCUGAAUAUUUUGUGCAUGGAAUAAUGAAAUAAGACCUCUGUUCUACUUUCAUUGGUUUUUAGAUCAAGAGGUAAUGAUUAAUAGAAGCAGUUUGGGGGCAUUAGUAUUACGACGCGAGAGGUGAAAUUCUUGGACCGUCGUAAGACUAACUUAAGCGAAAGCAUUUGCCAAAGAUGUUUCAUUAAUCAAGAACGAAAGUUAGAGGUUCGAAGGCGAUCAGAUACCGCCCUAGUUCUAACCAUAAACGAUGCCAGCUAGCAAUUGGGUGUAGCUACUAUUAUGGCUCUCUCAGUCGCUUCCCCUCACCAUACCCCAACGAAGAGGCUGCCCGUGCUGCAAACAAUGGUGCCUAUCCACCAGAUUUGAGUUACAUUGUUUCAGGUCGUAAAGGUGGUGAAGAUUAUAUCUUCUCUUUACUCACCGGCUACUGUGAUGCUCCAGCUGGCGUACAAUUGCGUGAAGGCCAAUACUUUAACCCCUACUUCCCCGGUGGUGCUAUUGGUAUGGCUCAAGUCUUGUACAAUGAGGUCAUUGAAUACGAAGAUGGUACCCCAGCCACUCAAAGUCAAUUGGCCAAGGACGUGUCCACUUUCCUUAAAUGGACCUCAGAGCCUGAACAUGAUGUGCGCAAGAGUUUGAUUAUUAAGGUUUUGG